UUCAUACAAAGUCAGAAAGGAUAGUAGCUAUGAUACUUCUGUAGUGUCAUUGAAGAGGGAUGGGGAGUGAACCAGCUCCUGAGCCAAUAUCAUCGGCCUCAUCCUCCAGGACAGAUCCGUCAGCCUGUUGAGAAAUCUCAUUGCAGCUGAGACUCUCACUACCCCAUGCUGUUUGCCUGAGUCCUGAAUCAAGCUGUUUGAACACGUCAGCCAGGACAAGAGCCCUUGGGAAAUCUUCAGAAAGAGUACAACAUCAGUGAUACACAGUAAUUGCAGAAAAUUAGGAAAAUGCAAACAAGUAAAUUGAAGAAACAAGAAUCAGCCUCAAAUAUACCACUUACAUGUCCCUCAGUCUUCCUGAGUAAUGCUACCAUUCCUGUGUUCAUCUGCCUCUUCAAACCCCACCUUCCACUCCAGG